rnacentral:rRNA from 1 species
CCUACGGGUGGCUGCAGUGGGGAAUAUUGGACAAUGGGGGGAACCCUGAUCCAGCCAUGCCGCGUGUGUGAAGAAGGCCCUCGGGUUGUAAAGCACUUUCAGUGAGGAAGAACGCCUGGUGGUUAAUACCCAUCAGGAAAGACAUCACUCACAGAAGAAGCACCGGCUAACUCCGUGCCAGCAGCCGCGGUAAUACGUAGGGUGCGAGCGUUAAUCGGAAUUACUGGGCGUAAAGCGCGCGUAGGUGGCUUGAUAAGCCGGUUGUGAAAGCCCCGGGCUCAACCUGGGAACGGCAUCCGGAACUGUCAAGCUAGAGUGCAGGAGAGGAAGGUAGAAUUCCCGGUGUAGCGGUGAAAUGCGUAGAGAUCGGGAGGAAUACCAGUGGCGAAGGCGGCCUUCUGGACUGACACUGACACUGAGGUGCGAAAGCGUGGGUAGCAAACAGGAUUAGAUACCCCGGUAGUC